GGCCACCGUUUGUUGAGUGCAAAUAUGGAUGACUGUUUUUGCCGGCUUCACUGUCGGCUUAUAAGGGUUAUCAAAUAUCACUUUGAUUAAAUUAGAGUGCUCAAAGCAAGUGUGUUACUUGGAUAUAAAUGCAUGGAAUGAUGGAAUAUGUUGUUGUUCUAUUUGUCGGUUUUUGAACGAUGAAAUGAUUGAAAGGAACCGUUGGGGGCAUUCGUAUUGUUGUGAGAGAGGUGAAAUUCUUAGACCACAGCAAGACGAACUACUGCGAAAGCAUUUGCCAAGAAUGUUUUCAUUGAUCAAGAACGAAAGUUAGAGGUUCGAAGGCGAUCAGAUACCGCCCUAGUUCUAACCAUAAACUAUGCCAACUAGCAAUCUGCUUAUAUAUGUUCUAUGAUUAAGUAGGCGGCCACGGGAGACCAAAGUAGGGUUAUGGGGGAAGUAUGGUUGCAAAGCUGAAACUUAAAGGAAUUGACGGAAGGGCACCACCAGGAGUGGAGCCUGCGGCUUAAUUUGACUCAACACGGGGAAACUCACCAGGUCCAGACACAGUAAGGAUUGACAGAUUGAGAGCUCUUUCUUGAUUUUGUGGGUGGUGGUGCAUGGCCGUUCUUAGUUGGUGGAGUGAUUUGUCUGCUUAAUUGCGAUAACGAACGAGACCUUAACCUACUAAAUAGUGCUGCUAGCAUUUGCUGGUAUAGUCACUUCUUAGAGGGACUAUCGA
rnacentral:rRNA from 1 species